rnacentral:lncRNA from 12 species
AUAGUAUGACCCUCAACAGGGCUCUUUCCCUUAGGGUUUUCGGAUUUCAUUUGUGCAAACAAGAGGAGGUGACAAGCUCUCCAAGCACCACUCACAGCUGUAGCUGAAUCCAGCGCCAUCUCGGUCUGAUCUAGAAGGGCAGAUGUGAUUCUGGAAGUGCUCCCACACCCUCUCCCAAGACCCCUCCCAAGUCUCUUGGGGCUGCAGCUGGGCCCAUCCUACAUCUUCUCAGUGGGAUGUCCUUUCAUUUAGGAAAAUAGUUUCCACAGACAGUGGCAGGGGACUGGGAAGGCCAUGGGAAUGGAAGGGGCAGGAAGGGAUGAGAUGGGUGUGCCCCAGCUGCCUGCUGGUGAGGUGAAUAGCCCCCUUGGGUCAGACAGACCAUUAACCAGCUGUUUGACCUUGGGCAGAGCUCUUAACCUUCUUGUACUUAAUAAUAGUACCUACGGUUGGGGGUUAUUAAUAGUGAGGAUAAAAUCGGGUUAAAGGGAGUGUGCCUGUAAAAUACUUGGCCCAGAGCCUGGUAUGUAGUAAGCACUCAACACUGUGGCCUAGCUGACAUGAUGACGAUGGUGAUGAUGGCCUCGGGGGCGGGGUGGGGAGAAGAAGGAUGACAACAGUCCUGGUGGACAGUAUGAUACACUAUGAGGCUCCCCGCUCCACCCUGCAUACCCGUACUUGGCUCUGCACUUCUGGUUUCUUCUCCCUGCCUGCCCUCCCGAGACUCUCCUACCUCAGCCCCACAGGGUGUCUUGGGCUGCCGGGGGCGCUCAAGGCACUGGGCCCCGUGGAUCUGAGCCUGGAAGAAGAUCUCAGUGCCCUGGACAGACGUGUUGAUCUUGGGAUCCAUCCCCAAUAAGCCUCCGGUCAGCCCUCACCAGAGCCCGACCCGUGACAGCCAUCGCUGAGGGUGUCGAUGCCUGAGAAUGAAAUCCCAGGAGGGGUCAGAGUGCAGAGGCCAGUGAGGAGGCUGUUCUGAUUCAGCAGAGGACUGGUGAGGGCAGGGGGUG